rnacentral:rRNA from 1 species
UCGAACGAUGAAGCCCUUCGGGGUGGAUUAGUGGCGAACGGGUGAGUAACACGUGGGCAAUCUGCCCUUCACUCUGGGACAAGCCCUGGAAACGGGGUCUAAUACCGGAUACCACUCCUGCCUGCAUGGGCGGGGGUUGAAAGCUCCGGCGGUGAAGGAUGAGCCCGCGGCCUAUCAGCUUGUUGGUGGGGUAAUGGCCCACCAAGGCGACGACGGGUAGCCGGCCUGAGAGGGCGACCGGCCACACUGGGACUGAGACACGGCCCAGACUCCUACGGGAGGCAGCAGUGGGGAAUAUUGCACAAUGGGCGAAAGCCUGAUGCAGCGACGCCGCGUGAGGGAUGACGGCCUUCGGGUUGUAAACCUCUUUCAGCAGGGAAGAAGCGAAAGUGACGGUACCUGCAGAAGAAGCGCCGGCUAACUACGUGCCAGCAGCCGCGGUAAUACGUAGGGCGCAAGCGUUGUCCGGAAUUAUUGGGCGUAAAGAGCUCGUAGGCGGCUUGUCACGUCGGAUGUGAAAGCCCGAGGCUUAACCUCGGGUCUGCAUUCGAUACGGGCUAGCUAGAGUGUGGUAGGGGAGAUCGGAAUUCCUGGUGUAGCG